GUGUUUGUGUCUUGCUUGUCUUUGCAUCUCCCAUCUUUCAUGACCCUGUUCUUGCAACCAAAAUUUGGUAUUGGCACUUCAACCACUAACUAGUACAGAUUUUAAAAUAUAUCACUGUAUAGACAUAAAAUACUGUCUUUAAACAUUAGCCCAUCUAAGAGAAGGAAUAUUUUCAUCAUCCUAGGAACUUCCACAUAUUCGUUUAUUAGACGAUUCUUGUGCAUCAGCUACUACCAGGCAGGCACCAUAGAUGGCAAUGACAACACAGUUUCUGCCUUAAAGAAGCUUAUCAUCUGUGGAGGAAAUGAACAAGUAAACCAAUAAAGAAAGAAGAAAACUAAACAUUCUAAAAAUAACCCAGUGAUGUUUAAUGAAGAUGCCUGUGGAGAGAGGCUCAGGAGUAGGGGUGGACACAAAGCACCAAGCUGAUCUCCCUGUGCUAUGCGGCUGCUUCCCACUAGCUAGCUAUUUUACAUCCGGUAGUGUAUAUAUGUCCAUGCUACUCUCUCACUUUGUCCGAGCUUACCCUUCCCCCUCCCCAUGUCCUCAAGUCCAUUGUCUACGUCUGUGUCUUUAUUCCUGUCCUGCCCCUAGUUUCUUCAGAACCAUUUUUUUUAAGAUUCCAUAUAUAUGUGUUAGCAUAUGGUAUUUGUUUUUCUCUUUUGACUUACUUCACUCUGUAUGACAGUCUCUAGAUCCAUCCACCUCACUACAAAUAACUCAGUUUCAUUUCUUUUUAUGGCUGAGUAAUAUUCCAUUGUAUA